GCCUAGCUAGCUCUGUCGGUAGAGCAUGAAACUCUCAAUUUUGGGGUCGUGGGUUCGAGCCCCACGCUGGGCG
rnacentral:tRNA from 2 species